CCUGGAGUUUCUCCUGCCGCUUCAGGAACGAUCAAUUGCAAAAUUUGUUAUUACUGAAGGGUUUGGAGGAACUCUGGGUG
rnacentral:pre_miRNA from 1 species